ensembl:snRNA U2 U2 spliceosomal RNA
AUCGCUUCUCGGCCUUUUGGCUAAGAUCAAGUGUAGAAGCUAGAUCCUGCUUAGUCUCUUUGAUUAACAAUGUCUUCAGGUAUAAAAUGGGGAUAGGAGGGAUUGGACUAGAUGACCUCUAAAGUCCCUCCUAUCUCCAACACAA